UAGUUAAUUAGUUGCUUAUCUUGUGCAUUGUGUGUGCAAUUGUGUGGUGUUUUCGCAUUUAAUGGUUUAUUUUUGGACAUGGCAAAUUUUUUAUAGUGGUAAGUACUGAAGAAGGAAAACUUAAAUUUUAAGCUAGAGUGAAGAAGUACCGUGAGGGAAAAUUAUUUGUGUAAAGCUUUUUUUUAGUAGGGGUUAAGCUCUGUACCUUUUGCAUCAUGGUUUUUUAAGAGGUUUUUUAGAUAAAGUUGGCCCGAAAGAAAACGAGCUAUUUUUUAGCUUGCGUCAUCGUUGUAAAGAUGUGCUCAGACUUAAAAAUAGGAGUGAUAUUCUUUUCGCGUUUUUUGAUAGCUGGUUGGUCGGGAAAGGCAUUAGAGUGCCGGCUUGAUUUAUGAUUUUUGCCUUGGGAUGAAUUUUAUGGAAGUUUUCUGGCAAGGAUUUGAAAAUCAAGUCUUGUGUGAGAAAGGAUUAGCUUUCUCAUGUUGUUAAAAAGUGUAUGGUUAGUAGUGUUGGAGGCGGUUUAGUAGGCUUGGAAUCGGCCACCUUUUAAGUUUGUUUUAAAAUAUCUGUUUUUGUAACUAAAAAUUAAUAUGUGUAUUUUUAAUUAAAUUGUUUUAGUACCGACUUUACUAAUGUAACUAAGUUUAUUUGUGUAAUAAUGAGAAAAUGAGUAUUUAUUUUUAUUUAGUUGCUUUUGUUUAUUAAAGUAAGUAAGCUACGACUUGAUUUAGUGUGUUUAGUGAAAAAAUUAAAUUCCAGAAAAGGAACUCGGCAAAUGUCGGCCUCGCCUGUUUAGCAAAAACAUGGCUCUUCGGUUAUUAAUUAAAUGAGGAGUCGGACCUGCCCGGUGACCUACGGGUUAAACGGCCGCGGUACACUGACCGUGCAAAGGUAGCACAAUCACUUGCCCUUUAAUUAGAGGCUGGUAUGAAUGGUUUGACGAGGGUUGAGCUGUCUCUUUUGGAAUAUUUAAAAAUUAACUUCUAGGUGAAAAGGCCUAGAUUGAGCUGAGGGACGAGAAGACCCUGUUGAGCUUUAGUGUUGGGUAGAGAGUGGCAUUUCUAUUAUUAAUAGAAAGUUUAGAUUUACUUUUACAUCUUUAGUUGGGGUGACUAGGGAACAUGGAUAGCUUCUCUGUUGUUUGUUUAACUUAAUUUGGUGGACUGACUGGUGAUCCAGCAUUGUUGAUUAUCGGAAAAAGUUACCACAGGGAUAACAGCGUAAUCUUUCUGGAGAGUUCACAUUGAAAGAAGGGUUUGCGACCUCGAUGUUGGAUUAAGGUGUCCUGAGGGUGUAGCAGCUUUCGUUGGUUGGUCUGUUCGACCAUUAAAACCUUACAUGAUCUGAGUUCAGACCGGCGUGAGCCAGGUUGGUUUCUAUCUUCAGUUUUUAUAGUUCUUUGACUAGUACGAAAGGA
rnacentral:rRNA from 1 species